GCGAACGCUGGCGGCGUGCCUAACACAUGCAAGUCGAACGUGAAAAGGGAAACCUGAGUAAAGUGGCGUACGGGUGAGUAACGCGUAGGUAAUCUACCCCAGAAUCUGGAAUAACCUGCCGAAAGGCGGGCUAAUACUGGAUAGAGCGAGGGAACUCGUAAGAGAGUUUUUCGGGAAAGGGAGCCCGCAAGGGCCUUCGUUCUGGGAUGAGCCUGCGUCUCAUUAGCUAGUUGGUAAGGUAACGGCUUACCAAGGCGAUGAUGAGUAGCUGGUCUGAGAGGAUGAUCAGCCACACUGGAACUGAAACACGGUCCAGACUCCUACGGGAGGCAGCAGUGGGGAAUCUUGCGCAAUGGACGAAAGUCUGACGCAGCCACGCCGCGUGAGUGAAGAAGGCCUUCGGGUUGUAGAGCUCUGUCGGAUGGGACGAACAUCUUCAUAGUGAAUAGCUAUGAGGACUGACGGUACCAUCAAAGGAAGCACCGGCUAACUCCGUG
rnacentral:rRNA from 1 species